AUUGAACGCUGGCGGCAGGCCUAACACAUGCAAGUCGAGCGAGCGGCGGACGGGCGAGUAAUGUAUGGGGACAUGCCUGACGGAGGGGGAUAAGUACUGGAAACGGUAGCAAAUACCGCAUACCACCAGAUGAACCCAUAUGGGAUUAGCUUGUAGGUGAGGUAACGGCUCACCUAGGUGACGAUCCCUAGCUGGUCUGAGAGGAUGAUCAGCCACACUGGGACUGAGACACGGCCCAGACUCCUACGGGAGGCAGCAGUGGGGAAUAUUGCACAAUGGGCGCAAGCCUGAUGCAGCCAUGCCGCGUGUAUGAAGAAGGCCUUCGGGUUGUAAAGUACUUUCAGUCGGGAGGCGUUACCGACAGAAGAAGCACCGGCUAACUCCGUGCCAGCAGCCGCGGUAAUUC
rnacentral:rRNA from 1 species